rnacentral:rRNA from 1 species
GACGAACGCUGGCGGCGUGCUUAACACAUGCAAGUCGAACGGAAAGGCCUGCUUUCCCUUGUGGAUUGCGGGUACUCGAGUGGCGAACGGGUGAGUAACACGUGAGUGAUCUGCCCCCAACUUGGGUAUAAGCCUGGGAAACUGGGUCUAAUUCCCGAUAGGACUGCAGGGUGGUGCCUGUGGUGGAAAACGAUUUUCUAGUGGUUGGGGAUGAGCUCGCGGCCUAUCAGCUUGUUGGUGGGGUAAUGGCCUACCAAGGCGGCGACGGGUAGCCGGCCUGAGAGGGUGGACGGCCACAUUGGGACUGAGAUACGGCCCAGACUCCUACGGGAGGCAGCAGUGGGGAAUAUUGCACAAUGGGCGGAAGCCUGAUGCAGCGACGCCGCGUGGGGGAUGACGGGCUUCGGGUUGUAAACUCCUUUCGACCGCGAGGAAGCCACCUGGUUGGAAGGGUGGUGACGGUAGUGGUAGAAGAAGCACCGGCUAACUACGUG